UCUGGCAGGUCUGACUCCCACAUCACUGUGAAGGUUAUACUGAUCAGAGUCUGGCAGGUCUGACUCCCACAUCACUGUGAAGGUUAUACUGAUCAGAGUCUGGCAGGUCUGACUCCCACAUCACUGUGAAGGAUAUACUGAUCAGAGUCUGGCAGGUCUGACUCCCACAUCACUGUGAAGGUUAUACUGAUCAGAGUCUGGCAGGUCUGACUCCCACAUCACUGUGAAGGUUAUACUGAUCAGAGUCUGGCAGGUCUGACUCCCACAUCACUGUGAAGGUUAUACUGAUCAGAGUCUGGCAGGUCUGACUCCCACAUCACUGUGAAGGAUAUACUGAUCAGAGUCUGGCAGGUCUGACUCCCACAUCACUGUGAAGGUUAUACUGAUCAGAGUCUGGCAGGUCUGACUCCCACAUCACUGUGAAGGUUAUACUGAUCAGAGUCUGGCAGGUCUGAUUCCCACAUCACUGUGAAGGUUAUGGACAUCACUGAUCAGAGUCUGGCAGGUCUGACUCCCACAUCACUGUGAAGGUUAUACUGAUCAGAGUCUGGCAGGUCUGACUCCCACAUCACUGUGAAGGUUAUACUGAUCAGAGUCUGGCAGGUCUGACUCCCACAUCUCUGUGAAGGUUAUACUGAUCAGAGUCUGGCAGGUCUGACUCCCACAUCACUGUGAAUGUUAUACUGAUCAGAGUCUGGCAGGUCUGACUCCCACAUCACUGUGAAUGAUAUACUGAUCAGAGUCUGGCAGGUCUGACUCCCACAUCACUGUGAAGGUUAUACUGAUCAGAGUCUGGCAGGUCUGACUCCCACAUCACUGUGAAGGUUAUGGACAUUACUGAUAUACUGGUGAUCACCAUUAUGUUAUUGGCCAUCCAUAGUCACAUUUCUACUGGAAAAAUGUAUCUGAUGACAUUCAGUCAUUUUCUGUCACUUAUUUAUCCGUUUGCACAAUUACUUUAGAAAAUAUAUAUAUUUGUAGGGAUAUUGAAAAGUGGUAAAGAUUGUGAUUUCUGGUUUUAUCCGUGUGUGUCCCCGCUACACCUGUCCCCGCUACACCUGUCCUCUCUACACCUGUCCUCUCUACACCUGUCCUCUCU